AAAUUACAAAGUACUCUCUGAUACUCUUGUCACCAAUGUUGCAAAAACCAGAAGUAAAAGAAAAUCAUACUAGUUCAUAAUUGAAGAUUAAAGUUAAAUCUAGUUGCUAUAACUCAUAAGCCGAAAUUUAUAUCUAUAUCCUGUCAAUCGGAAAGUUUCUCACUUAAGGAAUUCAUUUUUGCACAAUUAUUAUUUUUUCUGUUUUUCAUCGCUUCAAUUAACUCAUCAUAUUAUUUCCUUCAGGUUUUGACAAUUACUUUUCUAUCUGACGAAGUUUGCAUGUUCACCUGGCAGAGCAAUCUCCUAUUCUCACGAUAUCGUAGAUUAUGCUAAGCACACGAUAUUACAGAUCUGAUAAAAGAUUCGUAACCUAUCUAAAAUACGGUAUUGCGCAAACUCAUCGUACACAAUUUGUUGUGAGACAUUUUUAUAGAAAGAAAUUAUUCCUAGGAAGAAAACUUCUUGACACACUUUUAUUUUUUAUAAGCUCUUACACAAGUUCAUGGUCUAAACCAGCGAUCCCUGAAAGAUGUUCCUUCAAACCCGAGAGUUUGAAGAAAGAAUAGCACAGAGAAAUCAUGUAUUCUACGAAUAGAGAGUAAAGAAAACUCAUGAAGCAUGCAGAAUACCUACAAAAAAGGGGGAGAAGAGACAAAUAAAAAAAGAAACUUAUAAACGAACAUCAGUUUAAAAUGAAAAACGGAAUACAGCAACAAAAGAUGAAUGAGAGACAAAGAAAAUUAAUAUCAUUAUCCUUUGAUAUUAGUACUGUAUCAUUCAGUAAUUGAUUAAUUAAAAAAAUCUGCUUUGUAA